CGUCAGAUGAGGAGUGUAAAGAUGAAUCUAAAUCAUGUUUAGUGAGAGGACAAGUCGGCAUUUGUGCUUGCAAAUCUGGGUUCAUAGGUUUCGGAAACGAUUGUCUAAAGGGAGAUUUAAGUCUGCAUGAAUCGUGCCAGCGAAAUGAGCAGUGUUCUAUGGUACUUGGCUCUGUUUGUGAGAACAACAUAUGUACCUGUAGAGAAGGCUAUGUCUCAUCUAACAAUGACUCCGAAUGCUCUUUCCGUGGUAGAUCUCAAGCAAGUGUCCAGGGCC